rnacentral:lncRNA from 1 species
UCGUGGCUCAGGGGUAACAAACUCAACUAGUACCCAUAGGAUGUGGGUUUGAUCCCUGGUCUCACUCAGUGGGUUGAGGAUCUGGCAUUGCCAUGAGCUGUGGUGUAGUCUCAGACGAGGCUCGGAUCCCCCCGUUACUGUGGCUGUGGUGUAGCUCAGCAGUUACAGCUCUGAUUUGACCCCUGGCCUGGGAACUUCCAUUUGCCACACACAGCAGCUCAGGAAAAGAAAAAAGAAAAGAAAAGAAAAGAAAAGAAAAAAAAGGACAAUAAAUAAAUAAAUAAAUAAAUAAAUAAAUAAGAGAGCCUUUAUAUUCAAAGUUUGUAUUACACAGGGAGAAACGUGGUACGGUGCAGAAGAUAUGCUGAAGACUUAUCCUCCCCCUAGAUAUUUUUCUCUCUCCUCUGCUACAGAUGCUAACAUCAUAUCAUUAUAGAUAAUUUUUGUUCUAACCUCCUUUAGAAUGCAAAUACUGCUUGGGAAGGGGUAUGCCUUAAUAAGAUUUUAUACCUGGCUAUGCAGAAGCCAAGAAAGAGUAGCUUAGGGGAUGAAAAGGGCCUUUAAGGUGACCUACAAAAAGACAAAAUUUUGCCUGCUUUAAACUUGGUCUCUUUGUUAAUUUAGCAAUCAGAAAACAACCAAUCAAGCAACACACACACACACACACACACACACACACACACACACUCUAUGUUGGAAGUUGGAAAGAGGUAAUUAGUGAAGCCUUAGAGAAAAUAGACAAAUCAACUUCGUAAUUAAGCCAGAGCAGAGGAGGAAAAGGAAGUAUUACAGCUUAUGCUAAGAUAUGCAAAAAUUCUUUGUAUAAUUUUAGAUGUCAUGAUAUAGGAGAUUAUAGGGAUAAAGCCACAGAGAAGCAAAGUCAUGUUGUUCGUAUGCACUUCCUUUCUUUGCCAGCUGUCUUUACAAUAGUUGACAUUUGGUUCAGUCCCUUUCUCUCUUACGUUUGCAAUGUUCUUACCUAUAGUCAUCUCUCAUCACUAGUGACCCACAAGUAUGGCCUGAGUCAAUAGCUCAUGAGUAUUCUGCUCACCCUCCACCUCUCAGAGAGAUAUUUGAGAACUCUAUCAGAGAGAAGCAACAGUUCCCUGCCUUUAUGCUGUUAAAACAAUUUAUUCAUGCCUGUAGAAAGGCACUUAUCAAAUUGCAUCAAAUUAUUUUUUCUCAUAUAUAUCCUUCUCUAUCUCUAUAACAUCAGCCCUUAGAGGUCUGCAAAAUCAUUUCUUCACUUGUGCAUUCCCAGAACUAAUAGAGAGAGCUCAUAACAGGUUUUUAGAAAAGAAUUGCUGAAGGAAUUAAUAUUAUGAUUAUUACAAUUUUUAGUCUGUCAAUUUCUUUAUAACUACUUUUUAUAUUCCUACAUCACUAGCUCACUUUUCUUUCCAGCUUAUCAGCAAUUUAUAUCUUUUAUUACAUAUACACUAUUUAUUUCAUUCUAGGUUAUUGUUAUGCCUAUAGAAUACUUUUUUGCUUCAUAUGAAUAACUCUGUAAUUCUGAUUAAUUCUACUUUUCACAUCUGUAUGUUAUUAACCUUUCAUUUCUUUAUUUAAUGUCCAUAACUUCUAAUUUAAUUUGUUUCAUAGAAACUCUAUUAGAGAUUUAUUUUACUAUUUUUUAUCACCUUUCUCUGACUCAUCAACCCUCUAAUAAAAUUAUUUUCCAGAAUUCCAAAUAAAUCUUCCUUCUGUCAAAAAAGUGUCUUGAACAAAUUCCAUUUUAUCCUUACCUAUCCUCUAGUUCAUCAUGACAGAAUGAUAUUCUUAUAUUCUUCAAAAAAGACAUGGUGGUAUAAGAAAUGUCCUACUCUUGUUUUGAAGAUUUAAUAAGUAAAACUUCAUUAUAGAAAAUAAGUAGCAAAUAAAUGUUUCCCAGUUCUGAAGGAAUUUUUUGUAAAGUUAAUUAUCUCCAAAUAUUAGCUCUUUAUUCAUUCAUUGAAAAUACACUUAUUAUGAACCUAGACAUGUAUAAUUAGACAUGCAUAAUUACACAUAGAUAUAUUUUUAGUAGAUAGACGAGUUUAAAAAAUACUUAUUCAAAUAGAUCCCUCUUAAAGAAUUAGAAAUUUAAAUAAAACUCAGUUUAGUGGUAUCACUGAUGUGAUAUCAAUGUUUGAUAUUCAGAGAAUUUCUCUGAGCAAGGGUAUCUAGCUUCAUUUUUAAAUCAUCGCUUUUUAAAAAUAAGUUUUCCUUCCCCAUUUUAUCUGCAUAGAACUUUCAUUUACCCUAGGAAAACCCACAUUUCCCCUUCCCAUAUAAAACCUUUAAGUUGUAUUUCUCCAGAUUCACACCUCGAUUCACUGUUUGUUUCAAAUGUUUUGUCCCAGUGUUGAUUCAGGAUACAUCUCAGAUUGUCUAAUCAUAUACAUAAUAGAAGGUUUCUUCUGAAUGCCACUACUUCCUUUUAUAACUUACCAGUAUUCUGAGAUAUUGCAAGGAGAGUCGGAGGGUGGAGAGGUUCUCCAUGCAGGACAGGCCUAGAGCAAAAUCCUGGGGCAAAAUCUGGCAUCAUUCCUCCCAGUGACCAACAGGCCAUAUAAUGGCAGCUCUUGAAUGAAACUCCUCUCAGUUGCAACAGGCUGGACAGCUAGAUAUUUCAAACACUCAGGAUUAAUCCAUAGGGUUUAUGUAAGGGUCUACUAUCCUUCCCCUAUUUCUUCACCUCAGGGACUCUCAACAACAAUUAUAAAAGAGUCAGGAGUUUCUAAAGAGUCAGUGGGGUAGAGUCAGGUCAACGCAAAUAUUUUUAUUACUUUAAUUUAAUUCUUGUGGUGAAAUGUAUCUAACAUAACAUUCACUAUGAGUAACAUUCUGUACAUUCACAAUAUUAUGAAACCAUUGCCACCACCUAAUUCCAGAACAUCACCUCAAAAGGAAGCCUCAUGGAGUUCCUGUCAUGGCUCAGCGCUUAGUGAACCUGACUAGCAUCUAUGAGGAUGUGGGUUUGAUCCCUGGCCUCCUUCAGUGGGUUAAGGAUCCGGCAUGGCCAUGAGCUGGGGUGUAGGUUGCAGAUACGGCUCAGAUCCUGCAUUGCGGUGGCUGUGGCGUAGGCUGGCAGCUACAGUGCUGAUUAGACCCCUAGCCUGGGAACCUCCAUAUG